CACGUAGGGCGCAAGCAUUGUCCGGAAUUAUUGGCGUAAAGAGCUCGUAGGCGGUCUGUUGCGUCUGCUGUGAAACUCGGGCUUAACCCCGAGCCUGCAGUGGAUACGGGCAGACUAGAGGGUAGGUAGGGGAGAAUGGAAUUCCCGGUGUAGCGGUGAAAUGCGCAGAUAUCGGGAGGAACACCGGUGGCGAAGGCGGUUCUCUGGGCCU
rnacentral:rRNA from 1 species